UAUUUCUGUUUAGGGAAUGUUAUAGGCAUCAUGCUAACUUCAUAGUUCUCCAUAUUAUAAUUAAGUUAUAGUUAGAAUCUAAUUUUUCUAUCUAAUUAUUUUGAUAGUGCAGCGUUUUAACUCUUCGGCUGGGGUUUGUUCCUUUCCUCCAUCCCUAAUGCUCUUUCAAGUUGUCUUUGAACCUAUGAUAGCUUUUCUCGAUCCCAACAAUCUGGGAUGUAUUGCUGCUGACUCCGUGGAAAAAAUUUGCCUGUUAUCACUUUGGGAGUGAAACAUUCUAUGUCAAAUUAUGACGGCUGUAACAACCAUCGCUCUUGUCCUUCCCAGUAGGGUUGGCCUUAACAGCAAGUACCUUGUCGGAUUAGCCCCCACAACUAAAACUGAUCCACCAUAAUGCAUUAAGAUGGAAAGUAAAGAAUGCUGAAAAUAAAUUAGUAGUUUGAAUCGUUAUAUAAUAUAUCAAAUCCUUACGAGUGAUAUUUUAUAAA
rnacentral:lncRNA from 1 species